UACGUAGGGGGCUAGCGUUGUCCGGAAUCAUUGGGCGUAAAGAGCGUGUAGGCGGCCCGGUAAGUCCGCUGUCAAAGUCAAAGGCUCAACCUUUGAAUGUCAGUGGAUACUGCCGGGCUAGAGUCCGGAAGAGGCGAGUGGAACUCCUGGUGUAGCGGUGGAAUGCGCAGAUAUCAGGAAGAACACCAACGGCGAAGGCAGCUCGCUAGGACGGUACUGACGCUGAGACGCGAAAGCGUGGGGAGCGAACAGG
rnacentral:rRNA from 1 species